rnacentral:rRNA from 1 species
AGAGUUUGAUCCUGGCUCAGAAUGAACGUUGGCGGCGUGGAUUAGGCAUGCAAGUCGCACGCUUUAUGUAGCAAUACAUGAAGAGUGGCGUAAGGGAGAGUAAUGCAUGGUUAGCUACCCUCGGGACUGGGAUAGCGGCGGGAAACUGCCGGUAAUACCGGAUGACAUCUUCGGAUCAAACGUGUAAAUCGGCCCGAGGAGGCGACCAUGUCCUAUCAGCUAGUUGGCGGUGUAACGGACCACCAAGGCUAAGACGGGUAUGGGGCGUGAGAGCGUGCCCCCACUCACUGGGACUGAGACACUGCCCAGACACCUACGGGUGGCUGCAGUCGAGAAUCUUCGGCAAUGGGCGCAAGCCUGACCGAGCGACGCCGCGUGCGGGAUGAAGGCCUUCGGGUUGUAAACCGCUGUCGUAGGGGAGGAAGGUCUGGUGUAUAGCCAGGCUGACCGUCCUAGAAGAAAGGGCU